GAUAAUCGGUACGGGUUGUGAGAGCAAGAGCCCGGAGAUGGAUUCUGAGACACGAAUCCAGGUCCUACGGGGCGCAGCAGGCGCGAAAACUUUACACUGCGCGAAAGCGCGAUAAGGGGACCUCGAGUGCGUGCGCAAUGCGUACGCUUUUCAGAUGCCUAAAAAGCAUGUGGAAUAAGGGCCGGGCAAGACCGGUGCCAGCCGCCGCGGUAACACCGGCGGCUCAAGUGGUGGCCGCUAUUAUUGGGCUUAAAGGGUCCGUAGCCGGACCAGUUAGUCCCUUGGGAAAUCUUACGGCUUAACCGUAAGGCUGCCAAUGGAUACUGCUGGUCUUGGGACCGGGAGAGGUAAGAGGUACCUCAGGGGUAGGAGUGAAAUCCUGUAAUCCUUGAGGGACCGCCAGUGGCGAAGGCGUCUUACUAGAACGGGUCCGACGGUGAGGGACGAAAGCUAGGGGCACGAACCGGAUUAGAUACCCGGGUAGUCCUAGCCGUAAACGAUGCGAGCUAGGUGUCACGUGGAUUGCGAAUCCAUGUGGUGCCGAAGGGAAACCGUGAAGCUCGCCGCCUGGGAAGUACGGCCGCAAGGCUGAAACUUAAAGGAAUUGGCGGGGGAGCAC
rnacentral:rRNA from 1 species